CGUCGAUCUUUGAGGUGUGAUGUUGGCCACGCAGCGGCCGAGACGUUCUUGCUCACUCGUCUGAGUUUAAAGCUUUUGAGAUAUCUUGGGGUAGGCUACAGAUGGAUGACAAGAUUUCUUGCACUUGGUUGUUAUGCAUUGUUACUUGUACCAGGCUUUUGUCAAGUUGGUUACAACUAUUUCUUCUCCAGUCAGAUACGCAGAAGUAUUGUUUACGACGAUAAACCAAGGAAUAGGUAGGAU